rnacentral:ncRNA from 1 species
AAGUAAGCGUCUAAGAAGGAGUAGUAGUGAAUUCUUUCCCUUAAAGAGAGUUGACGGAUGGUGCAAGUCAACGGGAUUCUUCAUGAACUCGCCUAUCGAGCUUGAAUGCAUGAACCAACCCUACCAAAGUAGUAGUGCAUUCCGUUUGUUCGCGAUAAGAACCUAAUGAGCCGAGUGCAAGGAGCUUUAAGCCAUGCACUAAUUUGGGUGGUACCGCGGGAGAUUACAUAUGACACUCUCGUCCCAUUU